rnacentral:rRNA from 1 species
UGGUGGAGUGAUUUGUCUGGUUAAUUCCGUUAACGAACGAGACCUCGACCUGCUAAAUAGUUUGGCGAAUUCCCUGUGGAUUCGCACAUAACCUCUUAGAGGGACUAUCGGUUCGCAGCCGGUGGAAGUUCGAGGCAAUAACA